CAGCCGCCACGGUAAUACGUAGGUGGCAAGCGUUGUCCGGAAUUAUUGGGCGUAAAGGGCUCGCAGGCGGUUUCUUAAGUCUGAUGUGAAAGCCCCCGGCUCAACCGGGGAGGGUCAUUGGAAACUGGGAAACUUGAGUGCAGAAGAGGAGAGUGGAAUUCCACGUGUAGCGGUGAAAUGCGUAGAGAUGUGGAGGAACACCAGUGGCGAAGGCGACUCUCUGGUCUGUAACUGACGCUGAGGAGCGAAAGCGUGGGGAGCGAACAGGAUUAGAGACCCCGGUAGUCCCUGUCUCUUAUAA
rnacentral:rRNA from 1 species